GGCAGGAAUAAGCCUGGCGAAAGGGAUACAAUUAGCCAAAUUAUUUACCCGAUUAUUCAAUAGCACAGCAGUGGCAGUUCCAGAAGAUAUAUACUUAGUUUGUGGACACAAAGCGUACAAAUGGUUAUCCCAGAAUGUCACAGGACUGUGCACCAUCGCCAGGCUUACUCCUGCCACCUUUAUAGUACCACGCUCUGAAAUUAACAUAAAUGCAGUACCUAAACACACCUUGUAUCGUAGGGCCAAAGAUAACACACCCCCCAGACCAAAUGGUAAGCCACAUGUAGUAGAGAUGAGCAUUUCCAACAAAAUUGUUAGUUCCAUCUUAAUAUAUCCCAUGAUAAUGCAGAUGUG